AAAAAAUCAUAUUGUCAAUGGUCCGCAUGGUGGUGUGAUGUGACGAUACAAUAUUUCUUUCUAUUUACGAGUGGCGAUAGCUUUUGUAUGUGUAGUUUAAUUAUUUUGUGCAAAUAAAUGUCGUGACAGUGAAACAAAAUGCAGUUUUGUAAGGAAAGGAAAAUUCUGACUGCUGCACAGUUAAAAAGACUUAGUGAACACAAGUAUUCAUGUUUAAGUGACAGCAUCUUGGACUCCUUAUUGCAGCCAUGGUGGUGCUGGUUGGUUUCGAAGACGCCACUAUGGCUAGCUCCGAAUCUCAUCACUAUACUAGGUUUAAUAGUUAAUAUAGUCACCACACUAAUAUUAGUUUGGUACAGUCCAGACGCACGUCAGGAUCCACCAAGAUGGGCAUGUGCACUGUGUGCACUAGGAGUGUUUGUGUACCAGAGCCUGGACGCGAUAGACGGCAAGCAGGCGCGGAGGACGAACAGUCAGUCUCCUCUAGGAGAACUAUUUGACCAUGGUUGCGACAGCCUCUCUACGGUCUUCAUAGCGCUUGGAGCGUGUAUAGCUGUCAAGCUCGGGGAGUACCCGACGUGGAUGUUUUUCCAAUGCAUCUGCGCAAUGACUCUGUUCUACUGCGCGCACUGGCAGGCCUACGUAACGGGCACCCUCAAGAUGGGCCGCAUCGACGUCACGGAGGCCCAGUACUCCAUCAUCGCCAUACACCUCAUAUCGGCCAUCAUCGGACCCGGCUUCUGGUCCACUCAGAUGCCCGUGUUGGCGGCGCCUUGGAGCCUGCUCAUCAGCUCGAUGACAUACCCAGCGCAAAUAUACCUAGUUACCAAGUUCUUGGCCACCUUCCGCAUGAGGGGCUGCGGCAAAAAUGGAUCCACGGUCGCCUUACCGACAGUAAACGUGCCGCUCAAUCUCGUGUCCAAUAUUGGGGUGAUUGCGUUAGCGGUCUACCUAAUAUUGGGAUACGUUACGGUCAUUAUGAGGGGCGGAGUCGGGAAAAAUGGCUCCACUGUAGCAGGCACCAGCAUCCUGUCGCCCGUGAUCCCGUUCUCUCUGGUGGUGGUCCCGGCGUUCGUGAUCUUCCAGAAGAGCGAGUCCAACGUGUAUGAGAACCACCCAGUGCUGUAUCUCAUCGCCUUUGGAAUGGUCGCUGCCAAAGUCACCAAUAGACUUGUGGUGGCUCAUAUGACCAAGAGCGAGAUGGAAUACUUCGACUGGGCGCUGCUGGGCCCGGCCAUGUUGUUCCUCAACCAGUAUUUCAACAACGCUCUGCCAGAGUACUUCGUCUUGUGGCUGUGUGCGAUAUGGACAAGCAUCGAGCUGUUCCGAUAUUGCGGCAAAAUCUGUCUGGAGAUCUGCGAGCACAUGAGCAUCCAGUUGUUCAGGAUAGCGGGCGCGGGCUCGGGCUCGAGCGCGGGCUCGAGCUCGAGCUCGAGCGCGGGCGCGGGCAAGCUCGAGCGCAACGGUACGAGCGCGCGCCGGCAACCGCCGCGCAACGUCAAGCGACACCACUCGCAGAAUUAGCUAGGAUAAUGUAGUGUUAGGUAUUUUAGAAGUUGGAAAUGGGUGGUGGAGAUAUGACAGGUUUCGCCUCGAUUUGACAUGGUACCAGCAUCAUCGUCGCGGCCACGAUCGCGUCGCCUGCUGCCAACUAACUUGAUUUCUACAUUGUUGUAUGUAAAUUUGAGUGAAUUGCACGAAUCUCCAAAAUUGCACGGAUCUUCGGUUAUUUGAUUGACCUGUGUUGUUCGUAAAGUUCAAAAUUGUAAUAAAAAUGUUUCAACUCACAUUUAUUAAACACACAUAAGACAUAUAAAUUUGAAAGUAAUAGUAUCGUGUUUCGGAUGAAUUGUGGCGUUAUAGAUUCUAUAUAUAACAAAAGCUUAUAAUUUAUAUAGCUUUAUUUGGUUUUUAUCGCACAUAUGAACUCUAGAAGUAUUAUAACAUUUUCAAAAUACUGUAUUUCUAGGGGACUUAUACCUGUCUAGAUUUUCACCGCUCAUUUUCAAUUGUAAUCUAUAUACUCUUCUUGUCUUUUCUUAGUUAUGGUCUGUGGCGAGACGAGGCGAUUGGGAAAGUUUCUAUGAGUUAAAAUUUGAUAGUUUAUUUCACAUUGAGUUAACUAGUUGAUGUGUGAGUUAAAUUUUAGGAAUUUGUCUCCAAUAGUUUGGCGUACUUGUUCGGUAUGAGUUGUAUAAAAAUAGGUGUUAUGAAAUUAUUAUUUUUAUGUGUAAAAAUAGCCAAUGAAUAUAUACGCGAAGCGCAAAUUUUCUAUUAACUGAGUGCAUAGUAUUUUAGCCUAAACUAUUUUUGGUCCAGUAAAAUAUUUGAAGUACUUUAAUAAACUGUGCUUAUAAUUUUGAAAAUGAAGAAUGAAUGACUCUGUUUUAAAUAUAUUAAGAUUAUAGUUGUCUCAUCUUUAGGAUGGCUUGUGUUUUGUAUAAAACAAAUGUUUUGCGACAUUCGUCUCUACGACAGUUACCCAUGGGAUGAAUAAAAAGCUGCAAUAUUUUCACAAGGAAAUUAAAAAUGUGAACUAAUAGUAACAAUUAUGUCACAUUAAAUAAAGCUUUCCGACACGAUGUUAAUAUGUCUGAAAUGAUUAAUGUAAAACAUUAGUUUAUUGUCCUUUUAAAGGGGUUGCGUUAUAUAUUUAUAUUAUCACGUUGGUUUUAUGAUAGUUGUUGAUACUCUGUAAAUAUUUGUAAGAAUUAGUGUUAUUUUGUAGCCUCGCGUUUCGUUGCAGACUGUGACCAUUGUAUUUAAAUUAUGAUAUUUUAAGAAUGCGAUCAGCUAGGAGACGUGGAGUGUGACAUAGUGUAUUUUCGCGCCAUCUUUUAUUUUGGUAAACUGUUUCGAAUACGAUAAGGUUGAUUUCAAUCAUCACAAUCAGAUAUGUUCACGAGUAAGCAUAUACUAUGGUAAAUAAUAAUAAAAUACAAAAAAUCAAAUUGAUGAUUAUUGAUGUGGAUUAAAAUAGCUGUGAAAAUUGUAAUAGUGACAUAGUACCUAUGAAAUACGAUUUAUCAUUGAACUAUAGAUAAGUAAUUAAUACAUUUAAAUAUAAAAACCCUUUAUUUUAAAUAAUACAACUAUCUAAAUGAAUGGAACGAAAAUACGCUAUGUUACAAAUGCAUUGUGCAUACAAUUGAUGCGAACACAAACACAAUGUACUUAUCUUGAAAUCUUAAACUUGCCAAUAAUAUUAACUGCUCAAACCGCUUUAACUAAUAAGCUUGCAAGAUCAAUAUGUAUUAACUAAUAUAUUUGAAUGAAUCAUGAAAUUAACUAUUAUUAGCUCAGCCACAAGUCCACUGCUGGACAUACCUCCCUUGUACUAAAUAAAUAUAAAAUCUUGUUAAUAUCGUUUUCUUCCUACUUCGACGCGAAUGCGACUCAAAGUACAUAGAAAUUAAUGUUAAAUUAUUAUUUUCAAUAAUUACUUUAGUGCAACGUUUUAUUGGAAAACACUUCUUGUAUAUUUGUUUAUUUAUAACUAGUCACUCGCCAAAACUAUGAAACACUAAUGUUGAUUGUGAGUUUAACUCAUACUCUACGAAACUACUCAUACGAAAACCCGCCAAGCGUGUAUAUUUUUCCAGUGAGCGUUUUCACAAAUUACUAGAGCUUUAUUUUGAGUCGUAGUCGUGUCAGAAGUUUUCACGUUCAUUAUUUAGGUCAUAGCUUUGAUUGUGGUUUUUCUAGAUCCAGCGAGCAAUACUCUCGAAAUAUUCAUAGGAAGCGAACACGACGAGUGACAGCGAGAAAUCUGAAACUGAAGACACAGCGCCCUUGAUAAAUAAUAAUAAUAUAAGUUAAUAUUCAAUUUAAUUUAUAGACUAAACAAUAACGUUACCUUGUAUUCGUGAAAGUUAUUUGAUGCGCACUGUAAUUUAUGUUGUGGCCUUCGUUUUAAUAAAAAAUGUCGUUUUUAUUUGUUGUAUCAAAUUGUUUAAAAUUAAUAUUGUGUCACAAUAUUUUGUAAUUAACAGUUAUUUUGAGCAAACAUUUUUUAUUUUCUAAGGCGCCAAAUUGAAUGACUAGGUAUUUUUAGAAAACAUUUUAGUGUCCAUUUUAAUUUUGAUGUCACAGUGUUGCCAGUUGGAAACCCCGAAAAUAAACAAUAUUGCCAGUGCGUGCCAAUGCAAAUCCGAAUUUUCUACUUCAAGGCAUUUAUUUAAUUCGCUCAUACGUACGCAUUCUAAUUUAUUGUCUCUACGCGAUCAAAUUUUCAUUUGUUCACAUUAUAAAACUAGGCAUUGAAGACUCGCGACUCUUCUGUUAUUGUAUGCCACUGCUUAUAUGUAUAAUGUAAGGCCUAUACAAUACCAAAAAACUUUUCUAUGCAUAUUUCUUGGCUUUGUCUACCCCGUAAUGCAAACGGUUGGUUCCUAUUUUACGCUCCAAUUUGUAGACUUCAUCUUAAUUUGUGAUCUUUUUGUGCACCCGUCGUUAUUUAAAAAGUUACAAGGAAUACUUGGACUUAUAGGUAAACAAAUAUGCAAAUAUACCUAUUAGGGUUCAUUUUCAAGACGAAUACCAUCUUACCGCGAAUGGUCUAGAAAAAUCUAGGUGUUGCCAACUAUUUAAACUAUAUUUCAAAGAGAUUAGUCAUGGCACAGCUUACUUAGUACAGUUGGUCUAUUGUGAUUUUUUUAUGUACCUAUCUACCUUUAAUUUGAAUAAAAUUCUUAAUACUCAUAA